AGCGAACGCUGGCGGCAGGCCUAACACAUGCAAGUCGAACGAACUCUUCGGAGUUAGAGGAGGACGGGUGAGUAACACGUGGGAACGUGCCUUUAGGUUCGGCAUAACUCCGGGAAACUUGUGCUAAGACUGAAUGUGCUCUUCGGGGGAAAGCUUUAGAGUCUGUAGAGCGGCCCGCGUCUGAUUAGCUAGAUGGUGAGGUAAAGGUUCACCAAGGCGACGAUCAGUAGCUGGUCUGAGAGGAUGAUCAGCCACAUUGGGACUGAGACACGGCCCAAACUCCUACGAGAGUCAGCAGUGGGGAAGCGUGCACAAUGGGCGAAAGCCUGACGCAGCCAUGCCGCGUAAAUGAUGAAGGUCUUAGGAUGGUAAAAUUCUUUCGCCGGGGACGAAAAUGACGGUACCCGGAGAAUAAGCCCCGGCUAACUUCGUGCCAGCAGCCGCCGUAACAC
rnacentral:rRNA from 1 species